rnacentral:rRNA from 1 species
GUGCACCAGGCGAGAAACCUUCGCAAUGCAGGAAACUGCGACGAGGGAACUCCAAGUGCCUACGCUCAGCGUAGGCUGUUCUCAAGCCUAGAAAGCUUGAGGAGUAAGGGCUGGAUAAGACGGGUGCCAUCUGUGGUAGCAGUCAAUAGAUUCGAUUUGUUACUGCAAGGCAUAAGCCGCCGCGGUAAUACCCGCAGCCCAAGUGGUGGCCGCUUUUAUUGGGGCCUAAAGCGUCCGUAGCCGGCCCGGUAAAUGCCUGGGGUAAAUCGUGGAGCCCAACGUUCACGAAUUCCGGGUAGACUGCCGAGCUCGGGACCGGAAGAGGGAGAGGGUACUUCA